GAUCAGUGAUGAAAAUAGCCAAAUCUGAGCAUAAAACCUUGCCUUCUACCUAAUGCAUGGUAUCUGUAGUUCUGAGA